UACAGAGGGUGCGAGCGUUAAUCGGAAUUACUGGGCGUAAAGCGCACGUAGGUGGCGACGUAAGUCGGGUGUGAAAGCCCCGGGCUCAACCUGGGAAUUGCAUUCGAGACUGCAUGGCUAGGAUGCGGAAGAGGGAAGCGGAAUUUCCGGUGUAGCGGUGAAAUGCGUAGAUAUCGGAAGGAACACCAGUGGCGAAAGCGGCUUCCUGGUCCAGCAUCGACGUUCAGGCACGAAAGCGUGGGGAGCAAACAGG
rnacentral:rRNA from 1 species